CCGAACGGCAGAAGUGGUGAUGGGCGCGUAUUUUCCGCCGGGCUCUUAGCCGGCGUACUUGUGCGCAUCCGUAGGUCAGCGUGGGUUGGGGCGUGGGAGUCGUUCAUGGGAAGGUC
rnacentral:rRNA from 1 species